GAUGAACGCUGGCGGCGUGCCUAAUACAUGCAAGUCGAGCGAACAGACGAGGAGCUUGCUCCUCUGACGUUAGCGGCGGACGGGUGAGUAACACGUGGAUAACCUACCUAUAAGACUGGGAUAACUUCGGGAAACCGGAGCUAAUACCGGAUAAUAUAUUGAACCGCAUGGUUCAAUAGUGAAAGACGGUUUUGCUGUCACUUAUAGAUGGAUCCGCGCCGCAUUAGCUAGUUGGUAAGGUAACGGCUUACCAAGGCGACGAUGCGUAGCCGACCUGAGAGGGGGAGCGGCAACACUGGAACUGAGACACGGACCAGACUCCUAAGGGAGGGAGCAGUAGGGAAUCUGCGAAAAUGGGCGAAAGCCUGACGGAGCAACGCCGCGUGGGUGAAGAAGGUCUUCGGAUCGUAAAACUCUGUUAUUAGGGAAGAAAAAAAGUGUAAGUAACUAUGCACGUCUUGACGGUACCUAAUCAGAAAGCCACGGCUAACUACGUG
rnacentral:rRNA from 1 species